AUGUCCUCAGUUUACAGAUCCAAGAUCGCCUGCUCCAGCUUACCGGGGACCACAGCAUCACCAACACAUAAUAGGGACAAAUACAGGAAUAACAGACUGUCUCUCUCUAGAAAGAAUAGAAUAAACAGGGAAAGUAAUGACAAUGAACACACAGCCGCUCUACCUCCCCCUCCCCCUCCUCGGACUGCUCAGCCAGGCUUAGAUAUAACCACGAAACAGCUCUGUAAAAGUUACUUUAAACUCAUACAAGCGGUACACCAUAAGCAGAUUAUGGAUAAGGCCAUUUCCACCCAGACACCGCCGAAAGGCAUGUACAGGCAGGUUAGGAAGCUUACUAACUUUAUUAAACCAUCCUCUCCUACAGAACAAUUCAUAGCCUCCAUAGAAGAAAACACCUUGCUAUGGAUGCAAAAUAAUUUAUUAAUCCUCCAAAACCAUUAUUCCAAUAUAAUUCUUAAUUAUAAGCAAUUAAUUUUUGAAGACACUGCUUUCCGCAUUUCCACAAACUGGGCGCAUAGACGCUACGGGAACAGACUAACGCAGGACACAAUCCAGGCGGCCCGGGCUGUAAUAGAGGACCGACCCGAACAACUUCAUGCUCUGGACUCCCUACCUCCCUCCCCCAUAGAGAGACCCAGGCUCAAAACAGCGCUCGACCUGAACCUGGAGGACCAGGAGGAAUUUCCCUCCUUACCGGAGCCAGGGGGCGAUUUCGGACCCCGACACAGCAGACCAGCAACGACAACGGGAGGAGCGAUUUCUAAUGAGGAGAACAUCCCUCCCCCCCAGCCUGCCAGGUCACCUGCCAAGCAGAUCACCCUAGAGGGACGUAAUUUUACCUCACCGACUGCACAGAUUCCCAAAUCACCGCCACUUACUGCCGUCCAAUAUCCUCUCCAGUCCGAACCGAACAAGCAGCGGACAGCGACUCCACUCUCUCCACACGCAAAGCGACGCAUUCCUGCUGGGGAUGAAGACAUGACAACGAGCGAAAAACGGGGAGAAGUAGAAAACCACGAUGGUGAUAAUUUAAAUGCAACGAACAACUCAAACAGUGGACAGGCACAAGAGAAUCAGCCUCACGUGACUACUCGCCUCAGCCGAUCCAAUGUGGCAGUAGAUUGCAGCCAGCGCAUAGAACCACUCGCCUCACAACCCACCGCUGAGACUAACCUCUCUUCUUCUUCCUCCACCUUUCCUUUACAGUGCGACACGGGACCGAGGCACGAUAGCCAGCGACACUCCACACAUCCCGAGCAAAACGCAAACACAAAAGAGGUGGUGGGAAAUCACAUGACGAAAAGAGGAUCGGACGUGUUUAAUUACACGGCCCAAAAUGGCACACCGACCCGUUCUGAUCCCACUAAUACCACCCACAAGGGAUGUGUGGAUAACGCUGCCUCGGCCCGUGCGCACGACGAGGGGGAGGGACAAACGGAGGCUGCAUCAGCCUCAAGUUUCAAACACAAACCCAUACACCUUCCAACUCAACAUAAAGUUAGGGAAGGCAGAAAAAUAAUUGAUUGGCAUUUCAAAGGCCGUAAACCAAUCUGGUUUCUAGGCGACUCCAAUCUAUUUCGAAUCCCAGCCUUCUAUGACCACAACAUCCAAAUUGACAGCUACCCGGGAGCCGCAUUCUACCACUUUCAGAACAUCCUGGAGAAAACACCGGAGCAUCCUCUCGUCAAGAUUGUGGUCAUAUCAGUAGGCAUAAAUAACAAAGAUCAGGACCCACAUAAAACUUCCAUAAAACAGUUGAGACAGAUCUACAGGAGAGCUCAAUCGGUCUUUCCUAACGCUAACAUCGCCUUCCCUCUCAUUAAUUAUUCACCUCUUCUUUCACAAGCGCAAAAAAACAACUUGAAUAUCAUUAACGACUUCAUCUCCAGCCACUUACCUUUCUUAAGUCCGCUGCCAGCCGAGGAAUUUGCCACCACACAGGACGCCAUACACUGGACGAAGGACACCGCCAGAAACAUGUUCCAUCACUGGUGCGCAGAGCUGCAGCUAAAUUUAAAAUAG
ensembl:lncRNA